UACGUAGGGUGCAAGCGUUAAUCGGAAUUACUGGGCGUAAAGCGUGCGCAGGCGGUGAUGUAAGACAGGUGUGAAAUCCCCGGGCUCAACCUGGGAACUGCAUUUGUGACUGCAUCGCUGGAGUGCGGCAGAGGGGGAUGGAAUUCCGCGUGUAGCAGUGAAAUGCGUAGAUAUGCGGAGGAACACCGAUGGCGAAGGCAAUCCCCUGGGCCUGCACUGACACUGAGGGACGAAAGCUAGGGGAGCGAAUGGG
rnacentral:rRNA from 1 species